rnacentral:rRNA from 1 species
CUUAAAGGAAUUGACGGGGCCCGCACAAGCGGUGGAGCAUGUGGUUAAUUCGAAGCAACGCGAAGAACCUUACCAGGCCUUGACAUGCAGAGAACUUUCCAGAGAUGGAUUGGUGCCUUCGGGAACUCUGACACAGGUGCUGCAUGGCUGUCGUCAGCUCGUGCGUGAGAUGUUGGGUUAAGUCCCGUAACGAGCGCAACCCUUGUCCUUAGUUACCAGCACGUUAUGGUGGGCACUCUAAGGAGACUGCCGGUGACAAACCGGAGGAAGGUGGGGAUGACGUCAAGUCAUCAUGGCCCUUACGGCCUGGGCUACACACGUGCUACAAUGGUCGGUACAAAGGGUUGCCAAGCCGCGAGGUGGAGCUAAUCCCAUAAAACCGAUCGUAGUCCGGAUCGCAGUCUGCAACUCGACUGCGUGAAGUCGGAAUCGCUAGUAAUCGUGAAUCAGAAUGUCACGGUGAAUACGUUCCCGGGCCUU